rnacentral:lncRNA from 1 species
ACUCGUUUGCAUGAUCUUCUGGAAUCUCAAAAGAGGUUGGAUCAAUUUCUUCAGACGGAGACUCUCAAACACACUGCUGCGGAAGAUAGGUUACAUGAGCAGAUCAUGGGAAUUGAUAAAAAGGUGGAUCAGAAGAUGGAGAUCAUUGAUAAGAAGUGUGAUCACCUUACCACAACUUUGGCAAAUAUCCAACUCCAGCUGCUCAAUAUUGGAAAAAAUGGAGGUAAGAAUUCUGUCCUUGGUGAAACUCCAUUUACUGAAAAACCUGGAGGAAGUCAAUUCAAACGCAUGCCGUUUAAUUCAAAGUUUAAGACAGAUUAUACUUCUAGUCAGUCUAGUGGGAAUAACUCUUUGCAUAAGAUGGAUUUCCCAAAGUUCAAUGGUACAAAUCCUAGGGCAUGGAUCCUCAAAUGUAACAGCUACUUCAGGUUGACAUCGGCCAUGGCUGAUGAACAUAUGGUUCAGCUAGCUAUCCAUAAUUUUGAGGGAAGAGCUUUGCAAUGGAUACAGAAUUUUGCUGAUGAAAGUGUCUUAGAGAUCACGUGGGAGCAAUUCUUACAGGUUGUGGCUGCCAGAUUUGAUGAUUUGAAUGAAGGAAGAAUAAUUAUGGAAUUUAAGAAUUUGAGGCAAACUGGAUCUUACUCUGAUUAUGUAGAUAAAUUUGAGGAAUUAAGGGCUUGUCUACUACUUAGCAGUAAUAUGGACUAUACUGAGGAGUAUUUCACAACUAGUUUUAUCAGUGGGUUGGCUGAGGAAAUGCAAGGGUUUAUGUUGCUAUUCAAGCCUAAAACAGUCCAAGAAGCUAUGGAAAUUAGGUUGAAGCAGAUAUCUACUCUAGAGGCCUUGUCAAAGAGGAUAAAGCUACCAGCUAAGCCUUCCCAGAUCCAAAGCUACAAGAGACCUGAAGGGGUGAUGAUACACAAACCAAAUACUCCUAAUAGCACUAGAACCCCUAUUAAACUUCUCACUGCGGCUGAGAUGGCAGCUAGAAGGGAAAAAGGGCCUCUGCUACAACUGUGAUGAACCUUUUGUGCCAGGGCAUAAGUGUAAGCACAGAACCUUUUAUAUGGAGAUGACAGAAGAGCAGUAAUUAGCACAUAUUCAACAGGAAGAUGAAUUGGUAGAGGUACUUGUUGAGAAUAAUGAGGCACUAGAGGAAGUACACAUGAUAGCACAUGCUAUGAUGGGUAACACCAGUUCAAAGACCAUGAGGGUGAUUGGUGAGUGUGGAGGCAAGAAACUCAAAAUACUCAUUGAUACAGGUAGUACCUUUAGUUUUUUGAGAGAAAAAAUAGCUAAAGAGUUGGGAGUAGCAACUGAAGAGGAUAAACCACUGCUGAUUAAGGUUGCUAAUGGCCAAAGAUUGGUGAGUACUAAAACUGCACCUAACCUAUCUUGGCACAUGCAGGGGCAUCAUUUUACUUUUUCCCCACGAAUUCUCCAGAAUGAAGGCUAUGAUAUGAUCUUAGGCAGUGACUGGCUUGGAUAUUGCUCACCUAUUACAUUAGAUUACAACAAAAUGGUCUUUACAGUGAAUGUGGAGGGCAGAAAGGUGAAAUUAAAUGCUAUAACAGACAACACUGAGUUCCAAAUGAUUUCUGUCCAGGAGUUAUUCCACUUAAUACACUAUGAAGGGAAGUGCAUUGAAGAGAUCUACCUGUUGACCUCUAAACCUUCGGCAGAUACUGAGGAGGGAAAUUCAGAGCUCAGCAGCCUCUUGGGUAAAUUUCAGGACAUC